AGGUCGGAGGGACACUUAUACCUAUUGGUCUUAGCUAACUACUCUUGACAGUAGAGUGUUACAUUGGUUAUGUUCAAUGCAGAUGUACUCAUAUAUCUCACUUGAAUGCCAUACCAGUAUCUCCACACCACUUGGUUACGAGGACAACCAACGCAUAUGGCAUAUAGCGACCUACACUUGAUAAGUCAUCAUCCUUAUUAAUAACUUAUCAUUUGAUCGUGAACAAUUUAAGAACCAUCCGA
rnacentral:lncRNA from 1 species